GCUUUCCCUCCAGAGUGGAUCCUGAGUACGGCGGAACACGUGAAAUUCCGUCGGAAUCCGGGAGGACCAUCUCCCAAGGCUAAAUACUCCCUAGUGACCGAUAGUGAACCAGUACCGGGAGGGAAAGGUGAAAAGCACCCCGGAAGGGGAGUGAAACAGUUCCUGAAACCGUGUGCCUACAAGUAGUUAGAGCCCGUUAAUGGGGGAUGGCGGGCCUUUUGUAGAAUGAACCGGCGCGUUACGAU
rnacentral:rRNA from 1 species